GGUAGGUUGGCCAAGUGGUUAAAGCGGUGGACUUAAGUUCCACUGGUGAUGAUCUCCUCGUGGGUUUGAACCCCACACUACCA
rnacentral:tRNA from 1 species